rnacentral:rRNA from 1 species
AGUGAGCGCCUACGGGAAGCAGCAGUGAGGAAUAUUGGUCAAUGGGCGAGAGCCUGAACCAGCCAAGUCGCGUGAGGGAAGACGGUCCUAUGGAUUGUAAACCUCUUUUGCCGGGGAGCAAAGAGCGGCACGUGUGCCGCGCCGAGAGUACCCGGAGAAAAAGCAUCGGCUAACUCCGUGCC